rnacentral:rRNA from 1 species
AGAGUUUGAUCCUGGCUCAGGAUGAACGCUGGCGGCGUGCCUAACACAUGCAAGUCGAACGGAACUUCUUUGACAGAAUUCUUCGGAAGGAAGUUGAUUAAGUUUAGUGGCGGACGGGUGAGUAACGCGUGAGUAACCUGCCUUUGAGAGGGGAAUAACUUCCCGAAAGGGAUGCUAAUACCGCAUGAUGCAUAGAAGUCGCAUGGCUUUUAUGCCAAAGAUUUAUCGCUCAAAGAUGGACUCGCGUCCGAUUAGCCAGUUGGCGGGGUAACGGCCCACCAAAGCGACGAUCGGUAGCCGGACUGAGAGGUUGAACGGCCACAUUGGGACUGAGACACGGCCCAGACUCCUACGGGAGGCAGCAGUGGGGGAUAUUGCGCAAUGGGGGAAACCCUGACGCAGCAACGCCGCGUGAAGGAUGAAGGUUUUCGGAUUGUAAACUUCUUUUAUUUAGGACGAAGAAUGACGGUACUAAAUGAAUAAGCUCCGGCUAACUACGUGCCAGCAGCCGCGGUAAUACGUAGGGAGCAAGCGUUAUCCGGAUUUACUGGGUGUAAAGGGUGCGUAGGCGGCUUGGUAAGUCAGAUGUGAAAUGUAUGGGCUCAACCCAUGCACUGCAUUUGAAACUAUUGAGCUUGAGUGAAGUAGAGGUAGGCGGAAUUCCCUGUGUAGCGGUGAAAUGCGUAGAGAUAGGGAGGAACACCAGUGGCGAAGGCGGCCUACUGGGCUUUAACUGACGCUGAGGCACGAAAGCGUGGGUAGCAAACAGGAUUAGAUACCCUGGUAGUCCACGCUGUAAACGAUGAUUACUAGGUGUGGGGGGUCUGACCCCUUCCGUGCCGGAGUUAACACAAUAAGUAAUCCACCUGGGGAGUACGACCGCAAGGUUGAAACUCAAAGGAAUUGACGGGGGCCCGCACAAGCAGUGGAGUAUGUGGUUUAAUUCGAAGCAACGCGAAGAACCUUACCAGGUCUUGACAUCGAGUGACGAUCCCAGAGAUGGGAUUUCCCUUCGGGGCACGAAGACAGGUGGUGCAUGGUUGUCGUCAGCUCGUGUCGUGAGAUGUUGGGUUAAG